rnacentral:rRNA from 1 species
UACGUAGGGACCAAGCGUUGUUCGGAUUUACUGGGCGUAAAGGGCGCGUAGGCGGCGUGACAAGUCACUUGUGAAAUCUCCGGGCUUAACUCGGAACGGCCAAGUGAUACUGUCGUGGCUAGAGUGCAGAAGGGGCAAUUCGGAAUUCUUGGUGUAGCGGUGAAAUGCGUAGAUAUCAAGAGGGAACACCUGAGGUGAAGACGGGUUGCUGGGCUGACACUGACGUGGAAGCGCGGAAAGCUAGGGGAGCAAACGGG